rnacentral:lncRNA from 1 species
AGGAAGGAAUGCCUGGCAAUCCAACAAGGGUCAGAUGCCACAUCAACCUGAGCAGAAGCUGCCUAACCCUGGCUAUUCCAACGACAAUUAGACGUUCUUGGGAAGGUGGAGCCCUUUGUGGGAGCUCCACAAAGUGGCCACUUAAAGGUGACCGAGGCCUCUCAAAAUCCCUGUGUUAGAGCUGCAGCUCUCCAUGUGGGCUGCAGUGCAGUCACCAAUGGAGCUUUAGGACAGGCCCAGAGCUCAUCUCCCUGGACCAGUGCCUUGAGAAUUUUCGCAGCAGGGAUAGCCAGCUUGGAGAAGUGUGCCUGGGAGACCAUGU